rnacentral:rRNA from 1 species
GAUAAACGCUGGCGGCGUGCUUUAUGCAUGCAAGUCGCACGGUCAAUCGCAAGAAAGACAGUGGCAAACGGGUGCGUAAUACAUAAGUAACCUGCCCCUAAGUGGAGAAUAGCUCCGGGAAACUGGAGAUAAUGCUGCGUGUUGUGGUGAGGGUAAUGCCUCAUCAAUAAAGCCCGCAAGGGCGCUUGGGGAGGGGCUUAUGUCUGAUUAGCUAGUUGGUGAGGUAAUGGCCCACCAAGGCUUUGAUCGGUAGCUGGUCUGAGAGGAUGGUCAGCCACAAUGGGACUGAGACACGGCCCAUACUCCUACGGGAGGCAG